rnacentral:rRNA from 1 species
CAAGUCGAACGAUUAAAGCUCUCUUCGGAGAGUGUAUAGAGUGGCGCACGGGUGAGUAACACGUAAGUAAUCUACCCUCGAGUGGGGAAUAACAUCGGGAAACCGAUGCUAAUACCGCAUAAUGCAGCGGCACCGCAAGGUGACAGUUGUUAAAGAUUUAUCGCUUGAGGAGGAGCUUGCGGCAGAUUAGCUAGUUGGUAAGGUAAUGGCUUACCAAGGCUACGAUCUGUAACCGGUCUAAGAGGACGGUCGGUCACACUGACACUGAAUAACGGGUCAGACUCCUACGGGAGGCAGCAGUCGGGAAUUUUGGGCAAUGGGCGAAAGCCUGACCCAGCAACGCCGCGUGAAGGAUGAAGUAUUUCGGUAUGUAAACUUCGAAAGAAUAGGAAGAAUAAAUGACGGUACUAUUUAUAAGGUCCGGCUAACUACGUGCCAGCAGCCGCGGUAAUACGUAGGGACCAAGCGUUGUUCGGAUUUACUGGGCGUAAAGGGCGCGUAGGCGGCGUGACAAGUCACUUGUGAAAUCUCUGAGCUUAACUCAGAACGGCCAAGUGAAACUGUUGUGCUAGAGUGCAGAAGGGGCAAUCGGAAUUCUUGGUGUAGCGGUGAAAUGCGUAGAUAUCAAGAGGAACACCUGAGGUGAAGACGGGUUGCUGGGCUGACACUGACGCUGAUGCGCGAAAGCCAGGGGAGCAAACGGGAUUAGAUACCCCGGUAGUCCUGGCCCUAAACGAUGAAUACUUGGUGUCUGGAGUUAUUAGUGCUCCGGGUGCCGUCGCUAACGUUUUUAGUAUUCCGCCUGGGGAGUACGCUCGCAAGAGUGAAACUCAAAGGAAUUGACGGGGACCCGCACAAGCGGUGGAGCAUGUGGUUUAAUUCGACGCAC